GUGAUUUUCUAUCAUAAUGCCUUAUCUUUAGUCUGGGAUUGGGACCUCGAAAGAGACAAAGAAUUUCGCCGAAGGUGACUGACGUGUUUAAUCAUAUGUCUAAUAGCCAUCGACGCACGAUGCGUGUCACAGCGAGGAACCUUUCCAGCCGCGGCGAAACGUCUGAGGUGUGUGCGGCAAAGACAGAAUACUUAUAUAUCUAAGAAGAAAGGGGCGUGCUACAGAAAAGGUCUGACCAAUGCAGAUCUGCUAUUCAGGCGUGACCCCUGCGUGGCCCCGUGGGACACCUUGCGACUCCCGGAGUAUUGGGGGCCCGGACUGACCCCUGUUUGAAUUUAAGCUGUGCUCUGAAUGAAUCCGGGACGUGGUAACAACUAGACGCCGUAACCUACACAUGGGGAACACCCUCCGCCCGCGUGCAUAAAAGGAAGUCGUGCAUAUAUUUUACAAAUUUCGGCUGUAUUGUGACCCCGAAACCUGUCGUGGAUAUAUUUUUUGGUCAGGGUUCUGUCACAGCCUCAGUGAAAACAAUACGUUUUAUUUAUUUAUUACACUUUACAGAAAAAGUUCUGCAAGGUGUGGGCAACAGGAUGAUUUAAACGUCCUUUACAGGACCCACACCUUCAGCACAGUUAAAAGCAUAACAAUAAACCAUAGAGAAUGGGCAAAUAAAAGCUAAGUACUUUACAUAGAGAUAUUCUUACAAAAUAACAGCAAAAUACAAUAUAACAGGUCGUCACGUCUGGUGUUAAUUGCCUUGAAGAUGUAUCCAACGCAUGUAAUUCUCUCUCUCUUUUUACCCUUCCAUGUCACCCAUGUUCCCUUUCUCCCUCUCCUACCUUCUUUCAUUCUGUCUUUUCCUGUACCUUCGAUGAUCUAUUUCUCUCUCUCCCUCCCCUCUCUCUCUCCUUCUCUCUCUUGUUUUCCUUCCCUCUCUUCAGACUGUGAAAUAAAGACUAAAUAUCAACGACAAGUGCAAAAUGUUAGUUAGCUAAUACAUGUCUCAACGUGUAAGGCGUGCAGCAUUACUGAGCUCUAGUGACCUUAUAUCUCACCAAGCGGAGGCACGUUGGAGGCACUGUUGAUUUCGACAACGCAAACGUGCCUCCAAGCUGCCUGCAAUGUAAUCCAACGUGCCUCCAACGAAUUUCAACGUGCCUCCAACAAAGGCACUGUAUUUAUGAAAUUUAAAAAAAAAAUUAGGUGUAUGAAAUUUUGAAAAUAACGCAAGUUGUAGAAUUACCAAGACAGAGAUAGACCUUAACGGCUGUAUAAUAGCUGUACGUCACUCUGGACGUUAGAGUCAAUUACGAGUCACCGUCAUUUGUAAUAUGUUUGAACUAUUUCAAAUAAAAUAGUAUUUCAGUAUGUGAUCACAUGUUCCAACAGUUUGUGUCAUUUUUUCCUCAAUAAAAACUUUUCUUACCCCCAUAAAUCAAGCUGCUAAGCUGUGCCCUUUGUUUGGGUCUUGUAUUUUUUAGAUUUUCCUUAGUAGACACUGGUGACUCUUUUGUGAAAAGGUGGCAGACAGACACAAUUUCCUGUACUUAGCAGGGAUGUGUGAAUUGCCCUCUUC